rnacentral:misc_RNA from 1 species
GAGGAUUGAAUUUUGGACGGAGGUGGCCGAGAGAGGCAGGAAAAUGGUGGCGCGUGAUGACACGCACAGGUGGUGGAGUGGUAAGGAUUCAGUUUACUGGGAGCUAGGGGAUUGUUUAGAGGACGCGUUUUGGAAGCUGAGAGAUGGAGGUUGGAGAGAGGAGGAGGUAAGGGAGAUGAUGAUGAUGAACGGUUGUGAUCGCGAAAGAGAGAAGGGCCGUGGGGUCAAGUUCGGCAAAGAAGAUGUGGGGUGGCAAGUGAGGGUGUUUUCGCUGGUGUUAU